CCUACGGGAGGCAGCAGUGAGGAAUAUUGGUCAAUGGGCGCUAGCCUGAACCAGCCAAGUAGCGUGAAGGAUGACUGCCCUAUGGGUUGUAAACUUCUUUUAUAUGGGAAUAAAGUGCAGUAUGUAUACUGCUUUGCAUGUACCUUAUGAAUAAGGAUCGGCUAACUCCGUGCCAGCAGCCGCGAUAAUACGGAGGAUUCGAGCGUUAUCCGGAUUUAUUGGGUUUAAAGGGAGCGUAGGCGGGUUGUUAAGUCAGUUGUGAAAGUUUGCGGCUCAACCGUAAAAUUGCAGUUGAUACUGGCAGCCUUGAGUACAGUAGAGGUAGGCGGAAUUCGUGGUGUAGCGGUGAAAUGCUUAGAUAUCACGAAGAACUCCGAUUGCGAAGGCAGCCUGCUGGACUGUAACUGACGCUGAUGCUCGAAAGUGUGGGUAUCAAACAGGAUUAGAUACCCGAGUAGUC
rnacentral:rRNA from 1 species